CGAAUAGACUCGUUUGUGGCUAUUCUUCUGCAAGUCAUGGUUACUCAUGACAUACAAUACGGAACCCAACUGAAUUGUCGGGGGUAUCCAAUAUUCAUUUCACUUGCUGACAUUGUCAAGACCUCAGAACGUGCUCUCAUCAUGAUUUGUGAUUCAGAAUUGAUGGGGUGAUUCCCAAAACUAUUUCAAUCUGGCGCAGCAGUUGCAGUUGACUAGAAUCGAAUUGUGCAAUGCGGCAGCAAUAAUAAUUGUUCAAUAAUAUGCAUAGAUCAAAUUAAAGAAACAGUUUCUCUAUUACGAAUUUUGUUUAGGCUAUUAAACUUGUGUGUGCUUGUUAAUUGGCAAUAGAUAAGAACUAUAAUCUGUACACAAUAGCAGGGACUAAUAACCGAUAUCAAUGGAAUAUACAAAUAUAUAAUUGUGCGCUAGCCGGCAAAACUUUCGCUGAUUUACAAGCCAGUCAGUCAGUCAGUCAGUCACUCCGGGCCUACAGACUUGCAGUUGCCUACGUAUUUAACGAUUGCACAUGUACAUUGUAUCUGUAUAUACUUAAUUGUAUUUAUUUAAAGGCGUGCCUGCCGCGCACUCAAGUCGGAAUUGUAUCUGGGAACGGAGAGAAGCAGCAUCCAUAUUGUAAAUUACGGAGGCGCUGGCUUUGCGAUGCAGAUAAGAUUCCCUGGAAUACAGCCUAACUGCAUUUAUCUAUCUGCCGGCUGGCUGCUGCUAUCAAUAACAAGUCAACAAAGCAAUCCAAGGUGAAAAGUAGCCUCUCGAGUGCGGGGAAACCUAAUUAAACGGUGCUACAACGACCUGAUAGAAGUUUCCAUUACAUAAAUGCUCGAUAGAACUGAGUUCGAAGAGAUGGCGGAGUCAACAUGUUUCAUUCAUCCCGAUGGUGGGUGGCGUGAUAAGAGAACCCAGUGAAAGGGUUUCCGCUCUGGCUUUCAGAACUUCACGAAAUUAGCUCGUCAAACGGACUGUGUCCAGACUCUAGAUUAUAAUGAUGACGCCGGGAAUCCCGGCCAGGCUUUAAACUGGCAACCAACUGCCUGCCGGCUGUCACUUGCGCGAUUGACACAUGUGGCCACAAAAAUCAAUAAAUGCUCGAGCCACCAGCCAGCUGAGUGAAAUACAA